GACAGAGGGUGCAAACGUUGCUCGGAAUCACUGGGCGUAAAGGGCGUGUAGGCGGGAAGGAUAGUCAGAUGUGAAAUCCCUGGGCUCAACCCAGGAACUGCAUUUGAAACUCCCUUUCUUGAGUACCGGAGAGGAAGGUGGAAUACCUGGUAUAGAGGUGAAAUUCGUAGAUAUCAGGUGGAACACCAGUGGCGAAGGCGGCCUCUGGACGGUAACUGACGCUGAGGCGCGAAAGCUAGGGGAGCGAACAGG
rnacentral:rRNA from 1 species